GACGAACGCUGGCGGCGUGCUUAACACAUGCAAGUCGAACGGAAAGGCCCUGCUUUUGUGGGGUGCUCGAGUGGCGAACGGGUGAGUAACACGUGUGUAACCUGCCCUUGACUUUGGGAUAACUUCAGGAAACUGGGGCUAAUACCGGAUAGGAGCUCCUGCAGCAUGGUGGGGGUUGGAAAGUUUCGGCGGUUGGGGAUGGACUCGCGGCUUAUCAGCUUGUUGGUGGGGUAGUGGCUUACCAAGGCUUUGACGGGUAGCCGGCCUGAGAGGGUGACCGGCCACAUUGGGACUGAGAUACGGCCCAGACUCCUACGGGAGGCAGCAGUGGGGAAUAUUGCACAAUGGGCGGAAGCCUGAUGCAGCAACGCCGCGUGCGGGAUGACGGCCUUCGGGUUGUAAACCGCUUUCGCCUGUGACGAAGCGUGAGUGACGGUAAUGGGUAAAGAAGCACCGGCUAACUACGUG
rnacentral:rRNA from 1 species